rnacentral:rRNA from 1 species
GGGCCCGCACAAGCAGUGGAGUAUGUGGUUUAAUUCGACGCAACGCGAAGAACCUUACCAGGUCUUGACAUCGAGUGACAGUCUAAGAGAUUAGGCCUUCCCUUCGGGGACACAAAGACAGGUGGUGCAUGGUUGUCGUCAGCUCGUGUCGUGAGAUGUUGGGUUAAGUCCCGCAACGAGCGCAACCCUUAUCAUUAGUUGCUACGCAAGAGCACUCUAAUGAGACUGCCGUUGACAAAACGGAGGAAGGUGGGGAUGACGUCAAAUCAUCAUGCCCUUUAUGACCUGGGCUACACACGUACUACAAUGGCGUUUAACAAAGAGAAGCAAAGCCGCGAGGCAGAGCAAAUCUCCAAAAAACGUCUCAGUUCGGAUUGUAGGCUGCAACUCGCCUACAUGAAGUCGGAAUUGCUAGUAAUCGUAGGUCAGCAUACUACGGUGAAUACGUUCCCGGGCCUU